GAUGUUACUACAACCUGGAAACGCUUUUCAUUCCGCCACACUUGCAGUUAAAUAUGUCAUGGCAUAUACAACAAUUAAAAAAGUCUUGAGCACAAUGCCCAUUAGAUAAGCCCAAACAUAUUUCGAGUAGAUGUUGAGAUUUUACACACUAAUCAACUAGAGGGUUUUCAUCCUAUCCAGACCCAACUAUCCUUUUCAGUUCACUAAUGACACUGUCAAUAUCUGGCCGCUGAGCGGAUUCCAUACACACACAUGAUCCUAUGAGUUUCGAAAUUUCAGUGCUGGUAACAGCAUCAACCUCCAACGUUUCAUGAACCGCGGAGCCUCCUUUCUCUUUAAUGUAUGAACUCAGAUGACACAUAACCUCCCAUGCGCGUUCCCUUUUCAUUAUCAACUCCAGAAGUAGAGUUCCAAAUUCAAAAAUAUAUCCUUUUUCAAUCUCCAUGUCAUCUGCAAAAUACCAAUAGGACCGGAUGACAUUCAUCUAAUAUAAGUACAUGUACAGUGUGCCUGUGUAGAUAUAGUAUAUACAUGCAAUACAUAUAUAGUGAUGGCUGUGAACCUUGACAACAUUAAAAUAAUAUCUACUGUGUAAUUGUAACAUCGAUCAACAUCGAAGAUCACAUCUGCCUCUUAUGACAUCUUCCCUGUAAGCAGUUAUUUUCAGUAUGCUAUGCUCGUCCACACAAAUUUUCUACUAAAGAUUCAAGCUGCUAGAAUUAAUAACUAUGUUUUAGAGAGAAGACAACAUUUUCAAUAUUAAGCUACAUGAUGAUUAUAAAAUCUGCUAUCUCCUGCUAAAAGCCUAGGAAGUACAAACAUAGAUGAUAGAGUAGCCUAUCAAGAGUACAAGAAAACAGAAAAAGAAGCUAAGAGAGUGUGUAACUAAGCUCUAGGCUUAGCUUUAGAUGCAUAGACAACCUGUACCCAAUGUUAUAGAAUGAGAAGGGGGAAUGGAAACAUAUAAGCUAGCAAAAC
rnacentral:lncRNA from 1 species